rnacentral:rRNA from 1 species
CCUACGGGAGGCAGCAGUGAGGAAUAUUGGUCAAUGGACGCAAGUCUGAACCAGCCAUGCCGCGUGCAGGAAGACUGCUCUAUGAGUUGUAAACUUCUUUUAUACGAGGGUAAACGCAUAUACGCGUAUCUGUCUGAAUGUAUCGUACGAAUAAGGAUCGGCUAACUCCGUGCCAGCAGCCGCGGUCAUACGGAGGAUUCAAGCGUUAUCCGGAUUUAUUGGGUUUAAAGGGUGCGUAGGCGGUCGGAUAAGUUAGAGGUGAAAUACCGAGGCUCAACUUCGGAAUUGCAUCUGAUACUGGUCGGCUAGAGAACAGUUGAGGUAGGCGGAAUGUGUGGUGUAGCGGUGAAAUGCUUAGAGAUCACACAGAACACCGAUUGCGAAGGCAGCUUACCAGGCUACAACUGACGUUGAGGCACGAAAGCGUGGGGAGCAAACAGGAUUAGAUACCCUAGUAGUC